rnacentral:rRNA from 1 species
UACAGAGGGUGCAAACGUUGUUCGGAAUUACUGGGCGUAAAGCGUGUGUAGGCGGCCUCGUAGGUCGGAUGUGAAAGCUCUCGGCUCAACCGGGAAAGUGCAUUCGAAACCACAAGGCUUGAGUGUCGGAGAGGAAGGCGGAAUUGUCGGUGUAGAGGUGAAAUUCGUAGAUAUCGACAGGAACACCUGCGGCGAAAGCGGCCUCUGGACGAACACUGACGCUGAGA